CCUACGGGUGGCAGCAGUGGGGGAUAUUGCACAAUGGGGGAAACCCUGAUGCAGCGACGCCGCGUGAGUGCAGAAGUAUUUCGGUAUGUAAAGCUCUAUCAGCAGGGAAGAAAAUGACAGUACCUGACCAAGAAGCCCCGGAUAACUAAGUGACAGAAGCCGCGGUAAUACGUAGGGGGCAAGCGUUAUCCGGAUUUACUGGGUGUAAAGGGAGCGUAGACGGCUAUUUAAGUUUGGAGUGAAAGACCGGGGCCCAACCCCGGGACUGAUUUGGAAAAUGUGUAACCGGAGUACAGGAGGGGCAGGCGGAAUUCCUGGUGUAGCGGUGAAAUGCGUAGAUAUCAGGAGGAACACCGGCGGCGAAGGCGGCCUGCUGGACUGAAACUGACGUUGAGGCUCGAAAGCGUGGGGAGCAAACAGGAUUAGAUACCCCUGUAGUC
rnacentral:rRNA from 1 species